CUCUAGAAGGCUCCUUAAGGGAUGUGCAUGUGCACAAUAGAAUAUGUGUAAUUGUGAGGCAGAUAAACCUAUUUAUAAAUCAAGAAUAGAAGGGUGCGUAGGCAGGCUUAGUUUUACUGACAACUAAGAGCAUCUGGGAUGCAGAAUAUUAGAGCUAAGAGUUUUAAACCAGACAUUCUCAAUACAAGUAUAAACACAGAAUUUCCCAGAAGGACAGAAUCACUGGCCCAGAAUAUCUCAGUGGAGCUUAACAAUCAACCUUAAAAUGCAGACCAUGAACAGGAACUGCCCUAAUGACUCUUGGGUAUUUUUUUUUUCUUUUUUCAGGGGCGGGGGAGGUACUGGGGAUUGAACUCAGGGGCACUCCACCACUAAGCCACAUCCCCAGCCUUACUUUGUAUUUUAUUUAUAGACAGGGUCUCACUGAGUUGGUUAGCACCUUGCUGAGGCUGGCUCUGAAUUCAUGAUCCUCUUGCCUCAGCCUCCCAAGCCAUGGGGAUUAUAGGUGUGCACUACUAGGCCCCGCGCGUAUUUUCUUAAGCAAGUAAUUCUGACUGGUAUCCUCAGGUACUACACUUAAAGUAUAGCAAAUCAGUGGAUGUCCCCACCUAAAGCAUGCCCAACAGCUUUGGCAGGGCCAGUGAGAAGUAAAAAAAUCGACACUCACCUUUACUGCCUAAAACAUCCCGACACAUCUCCAAGGAUUUAUGCUUUCCAGGUGCCAGAAAGUUUCCUUCAAAGGUGCACCGUAUGUAGAAGUUUAAAACAUUCAUGAAAGCUGGG
rnacentral:lncRNA from 1 species